rnacentral:rRNA from 1 species
UCCAGACUCCUACGGGAGGCAGCAGUAGGGAAUCUUUCACAAUGGGCGAAAGCCUGAUGGAGCAACGCCGCGUGCAGGAUGAAGGCCUUCGGGUUGUAAACUGCUUUUAUAAGCGAGAGAUAUGAUGGUAACUUAUGAAUAAGGAUCGGCUAACUACGUGCCAGCAGCCGCGGUAAUACGUAGGGGGCAAGCGUUAUCCGGAAUUAUUGGGCGUAAAGAGUACGUAGGUGGCAACCUAAGCGCAGGGUUUAAGGCAAUGGCUCAACCAUUGUUCGCCCUGCGAACUGGGAUGCUUGAGUGCAGGAGAGGAAAGCGGAAUUCCUAGUGUAGCGGUGAAAUGCGUAGAUAUUAGGAGGAACACCAGUGGCGAAGGCGGCUUUCUGGACUGUAACUGACACUGAGGUACGAAAGCGUGGGGAGCAAACAGGAUUAGAUACCCCAGUA